rnacentral:lncRNA from 1 species
GUGGUGUUGAAAGGAAACAAUGAACAUGCCUGAAUACCUUACGCUGGGGAGAUUUAGUUAAGGGUAUUCCAUUUUGAUGCACAAGUCACGUUGUCGUUCCAGGAAGGUCAGCACUACUUUGGAGCCUGUGAAGGUCACCCAGCUGGUGCUUUGCGUUUGAAGGUAAAGACCACUUUCGAGUGUGAGCUGUACAGAUGCCAUCAUCAAUUCCAAUGGAAUUAUUUUUAAGUUAAGAGAGUUUUCCAGCAGUCAGAGCAGACCUGUCCACCCCAAGAACCAUCAGUGACCCAGUCCCCAGUGCACCAACCAACUCACCACCUUGGAAAGAGC